UUCGAAUAUCAUAGUUUUCUAAAGUGUUCAACUAGAAGUCAAUAUCAUGGGAAAAGCAAUUGUCUUACUUUUGGUCGUUUGUAUGCUGAUUGGUGCUUCGGUUUCCGAGGCAUCCAUGACAGCUGAUGUUGAUUCAAAAUCUUUUGCCAUGCAAGGUUCUUCGUCAUCUGGCGGCGGCGGUGGUGGCAGCGGUAGCAGCUCUAGCGGUGGAAGUGGCAGCAGUGGUGGCGGUUCUUCACAAACUUCAUCUGGAUGAAGAGUCCUGUUUAAGAACAAAAUCCUAACAUUGUUUUCAAAUCUUUAAA